rnacentral:rRNA from 1 species
UACAGAGGGGGCAAGCGUUGUUCGGAAUUACUGGGCGUAAAGGGCGCGUAGGCGGCCUGCUAAGUCGAACGUGAAAUCCCCGGGCUCAACCCGGGAACUGCGUCCGAUACUGGCAGGCUUGAAUCCAGGAGAGGGAUGUGGAAUUCCAGGUGUAGCGGUGAAAUGCGUAGAUAUCUGGAGGAACACCGGUGGCGAAGGCGGCAUCCUGGACCGGCAUUGACGCUGAGGCGCGAAAGCCAGGGGAGCAAACGGG